rnacentral:rRNA from 1 species
UACGUAGGGUGCAAGCGUUGUCCCGGAAUUAUUUGGGCGUAAAGAGCUUGUAGGCGGUUUGUCGCGUCUGCUGUGAAAAUCCGGGGCUCAACCCCGGACUUGUAGUGGGUACGGGCAGACUAGAGUGUGGUAGGGGAGACUGGAAUUCCUGGUGUAGCGGUGAAAUGCGCAGAUAUCAGGAGGAACACCGGUGGCGAAGGCGGGUCUCUGGGCAGUAACUACGUGAGGAGCGAAAAGCGUGGGG